CUGCUCCGAUGCAUUGUGGGUGAAAUGGGCGGGGCGAGUCACAUCCGGGUAGUAAGACCGUUCUCGGCCAGAUGCGGACUUCCUGUGAGACUCUGAGGACAGAAACUGCAGAACAACACGAGCUUUCACGUCAGACGCCACAAAAGUCUCCAGUGAAACCAGAUAAGGUCGCUGGUCGCUUUGACAAGAAGACACCGACAGGGUUCAUGACGUCACUGCACCAAACGACCAGGGAGCCUGCGCAUGCGCACACCUCAAGAAGUCAACAUCAUGACCUAAGACUUAAAUCAUAACUUCCACUCUUUAUGAGAAAGAGGCGGUUUCACGUCUCACACAUAAAGCAGGAAGUAAAGCGGCUCGGGGACUUUCCUCACUGCAGAAACAGCAGAUUAAAUCCAUAAUUCCCGUGUGAAGCGGCAGAGGUAAGACGUGUGUGUGUGUGUGUGUGUGUGUGUGUCUUUGCUGGCUCGCUGUGUGUUUCACAGUAACUCUGCAGGCUUUGUCUCACUCAAUGAUUCAUAAUCCACCGAUUCGCUGCUGUUCUUUGGCUCCAACGUCCGCGAGCUUCAAGCACCGACAAAAUGUCCCACUCGGUCCAAAGGUUGUGGACAAACCUGCACGUCAUAUGUGACUCUUCCCCACCAGCUAAAGGUUGGUGUGAAGGUGUGAAGGUGUGGACUCUGCUAUGAAUCAGGCUGAGGACCCAGAGGACGGAGUCCCUCCCUCUGAAGCCCCUCUGUGUGGGGAACCUGACAGCCAGACCAAAGCUCAGAGGACCCAUCAGAGACCAGGACCUGGACCCAGCUGUGUGUCCAUGAAGAGUAACCGGUCUAUGGGUCUUCCUAUAGUCUUCAAAGAUGUUGGUCCCUCUGUUGAUGCAAGUUCACAUCAGCAAAGAGGAAAGUCUCCUGAACCCAGAUGUUUGUCCAUGAAGAGUGAUCAGUCUAUUGGUCUUCCUUUCAACUUCAAAGAUAGA
ensembl:lncRNA